AUAACCAAAAAAAUAUAUGGCAAAGUCUUUAGCUUCCUUGUGUUGUAUUCUUUUUUAUGUUUCCCUCAUCCUUGUUGAUGAAAAUGUUGGGAGAGUGGAAGGGAAAAUUUGUUACAAAGAGGUGCAUGAGGUAAUUUGCAAAAAUGAUGAUCCAGAACAAGAUUGCUUGCCUACAUGUAGACAUUUAUUUGGAGGUGGAAAUAGAGCAACUUGUGCACCUCAAUUUAAUGGACCUAGCAUUUGUGCUUGUGUAUAUAAAUGUUGAACAAAUAUUUACUAAUUAAAUAUUCCUAUUUUGGUCCUUUA